AAAACGGCCCUUUUCAGGGCCAAUACAUAUUUGAGAAAAGAAGUUUU
rfam:Tetranychus urticae London genomic scaffold, scaffold_5